UACGGGGGGGGCAAGCGUUGUUCGGAAUUACUGGGCGUAAAGGGCUCGUAGGUGGCCAACUAAGUCAUACGUGAAAUCCCUCGGCUUAACCGGGGAACUGCGUCUGAUACUGGAUGGCUUGAGAUUGGGAGAGGGAUGCGGAAUUCCAGGUGUAGCGGUGAAAUGCGUAGAUAUCUGGAGGAACACCGGUGGCGAAGGCGGCAUCCUGGACCAACGCUGACACUGAGGAGCGAAAGCCAGGGGAGCAAACGGG
rnacentral:rRNA from 1 species